rnacentral:rRNA from 1 species
UGGGGAAUAUUGCGCAAUGGGCGAAAGCCUGACGCAGCGACGCCGCGUGCGGGAUGGAGGCCCUCGGGUCGUAAACCGCUUUCGGCAGGGACGAUUGUGACGGUACCUGCAUAAGAAGCCCCGGCUAAAUACGUGCCAGCAGCCGCGGUAACACGUAUGGGGCGAGCGUUAUCCGGAUUCAUUGGGCGUAAAGCGCGCGUAGGCGGGCCGUCAAGCGGGGUGUCCAAUCCGGGGGCUCAACCCGCGGCACCACCCCGAACUGGCGGCCUUGAGUGUGGUAGGGGAGCGUGGAACUCCCGGUGUAGCGGUGGAAUGCGCAGAUAUCGGGAGGAACACCGGUGGCGAAGGCGGCGCUCUGGGCCACCACUGACGCUGAGGCGCGAGAGCUGGGGGAGCGAACAGGAUUAGAUACCCUGGUAGU